UACGGAGGGUGCAAGCGUUAAUCGGAAUUACUGGGCGUAAAGCGCACGCAGGUGGCUGAGUCAGUCGAUUGUGAAAGCCCUGGGCUUAACCUGGGAAUUGCAGUCGAUACUACUCAGCUAGAGUAUGGGAGAGGGUAGUGGAAUUCCCGGUGUAGCGGUGAAAUGCGCAGAUAUCGGGAAGAACACCCGUGGCUAAGGCGGCCCUCUAGUACGGUACUGACGCUGAGACGCGAAAGCGUGGGGAGCGAACAGG
rnacentral:rRNA from 1 species